CAUGGGGACAUUGGCAGAAGGGGUGGAGAUGAUGACCUUUUUGGUCCCACACUUCAAGCGAACCCUGGCCUUCUCCAUGGUGGUAAAGAUGUCAAUAGAUGCCACAACAUACUCAACACCAGCGUCACCCCAUUUGAUGUUUGUGGAAUCUCGCUCCUGGAAGAUGGCAUAGGUCUUCCUGUUGAUAACAAGCUUCUCAUUCUCAGCCUUGACUGUGCCGUUGAACUUGCCAUGGGUAGAGUCAUACUGGAAUAUGUAGACCAUGUAGUUGAGGUCAACGAAGGAGUCAUUCAUGGCACCAAUUUCCACUUUGCCAGAUGCAGAUGUGAUGGCAGCCUUGGUAACCAGGUGCCCAAUACAGCCAAAUCCAUUAAUUCUGACCUUCCCCAUCAUGUCUAGGGGAUGAGGCUGACACUGCACAAGAAGAUGUGGGUGUCUCUGCAACAAGAAGGCGCAGAGAGUCUCUUUUCUCUCUUUCAAAAAA
rnacentral:lncRNA from 1 species